AGAAACAUAGAAACAUAGACAAUAGGUGCUGGAGUAGAGGCCAUUCGGCCCUUCGAGCCUGCAACGCCAUUCAAUAUGAUCAUGGCUGAUCAUCCAACUCAGUAUCCCGUACCUGCCUUCUCUCCAUACCCUCUGAUCCCCUUAGCCACAAGGGCCACAUCUAACUCCCUCUUAAAUAUAGCCAAUGAACUGGCCUCGACUACCCUCUGCGGCAGAGAGUUCCAGAGAUUCACCACUCUCUAUGUGAAAAAGGUUCUUCUCAUCUCGGUUUUAAAGGAUUUCCCCCUUAUCCUUAAGCUGUGACCCCUUGUCCUGGACUUCCCCAACAUCGGGAGCAAUCUUCCUGCAUCUAGCCUGUCCAACCCCUUAAGAAUUUUGUAAGUUUCUAUAAGAUCCCCUCUCAAUCUCCUAAAUUCUAGAGAGUAUAAACCAAGUCUAUCCAGUCUUUCUUCAUAAGACAGUCCUGACAUCCCCAGGAAUCAGUCUGGUGAACCUUCUCUGCACUCCCUCUAUGGCAAUAAUGUCCUUCCUCAGAUUUGGAGACCAAAACUGUACGCAAUACUCCAGGUGUGGUCUCACCAAGACCCUGUACAACUGCAGUAGAACCUCCCUGCUCCUAUACUCAAAUCCUUUCGCUAUGAAAGCUAACAUACCAUUCGCUUUCUUCACUGCCUGCUGCACCUGCAUGCCUACUUUCAAUGCCUGGUGUACCAUGACACCCAGGUCUCGCUGCAUCUCCCCUUUUCCUAGUCGGCCGCCAUUUAGAUAAUAGUCUGCUUUCCUGUUUUUGCCACCAAAAUGGAUAACCUCACAUUUAUCCACAUUAUACUGCAUCUGCCAAACAUUAGCCCACUCACCCAGCCUAUCCAAGUCACCUUGCAGUCUCCUAGCAUCCUCCUCACAGCUAACACUGCCCCCCAGCUUAGUGUCAUCCGCAAACUUGGAGAUAUUGCCUUCAAUUCCCUCAUCCAGAUCAUUAAUAUAUAUUGUAAAUAGCUUGGGUCCCAGUACUGAGCCUUGCGGUACCCCACUAGUCACUGCCUGCCUAAUGAAGAACUCAACCAUAUUAUGGUCACUCUUGGUACAAUGAAAUUAUUGGCUUUGCUUCAGCACAAGAGAACAUAGUAGGCAUUGAAUACAAAACAGAUCUGUGUGUCCAUACACCAUUAUAUAAAUAUAUACACACAUGAAUAAAUAAACUGAUAAAGUGCAAAUAACAGAUACUGGGCUAUUAAUGUUCAGAGUUUUGUCAGAGCCAAGUUUAAUAGCUUGAUGGCUGUGAGGAAGUUGCUAUCACUGAACCUGGUUGUUGCAGUCUUCAGGCUCCUGUACCUUCUACCUGAAGGUAGCAGGGAGAUGAGUGUGUGGCCAGGAUGGUGUGGGUCCUUGAUGAUACUGCCAGCCUUUUUCAGGCAGAGACUGCGAUAAAUCCCCUCGAUGAAAGGGAGUUCAGAGCCGAUGAUGGACUGGGCAGUGUUUACUACUUUUUGUAGUCUUACUCUAUGGGUGCUCAAGUUGCGUAACCAGGCCACGAUGCAACCGGUCAGCAUGCUCUCUACUGUGCACCUGUAGAAGUUAGAGAGAGUCCUCAUUGACAAACCGACUCUCCGUAAUCUUCUACGGUAGAGGCGCUGAUGUGCUUUCUUAAUAAUUGCACCAGUGUUCUCGGACCAGGAAAGAUCUUCAUAGAUGUGCACACACAGGAAUUUGAAGCUCUUGACCCUUUCAACCAUCCACCCGUUGAUAUAAACGGGACUGUGGGUCACCAUCCUACUCCUUCCAAAGUCCACAAUUAUUUCCGUGGGUUUGCUGGUGUUGAGGGCCAGGUUAUUGUGCUGGCACCAUAUGGACAGUUGCUCGAUCUCUCUUCUAUACUCUGACUCAUCCCCAUCAGUGAUACGUCCCACAACAGUGGUGUCAUCAGCGAACUUGAUGAUGGAGUUCGGAUUAUGACUGGCUAUGCAGUCAUCAAUAUAGAGUGAGUGCAGCAGGGGGCUGAGCUCGCAGCCUUGAGGUGCUCCCGUGCUGAUAGUUAUCGAGUCUUAACACAUUUCCACCAAUACGAACAGACUGUGGUCUGAGAAUGAGGAAGUUGAGGAUCCUAUUGCAGAGGGAUGCGCAGAAACCCACUUCCGCGAGUUUGGUAACCAGCUUGGAGGGGAUGUAUGUAUUAAAUGCCGAGAUGUACUCAAUGAAUAAGAGCCUGACAUAUUAGUUUUUGUUGUCCAAGUGGUCCAGAGCACAGUGGAGGGCCAGCGAGAUUGCGUCCACCGUUGAUCUGUUGUGGCAGUAAGCGAACUGCAGUGGGUCUAGGUUUUUGAUGCCCUUUUGAAGCAGGUGGGAACCUCAGACCUCGGAAGUGAGAGAUUGCAAAUGUCCGUAAAAACUCCAGCCAGUUGGUCCGCACAGGUUGUUUAUCUACGUAGUUUUGAUUGUUACCCAUACAAAAUCGUGCCAAUGACGAUUUAUUUAUCUAUAUUACUAUAUUACUCCACGGCAAGCCCCCUUGAUGUGGUUGCAAAGUGUUUGCCAAAUUGUCUUGGCUUUUAAAGACUCUUCAGAAAAUGUGUUGGCUACUUGCAAAGUGUUUGCCAAAUUGUCUUGGCUUUUAAAGACUCUUCUGAAAAUGUGUUGGCUGCUUGCAAAGUGUUGGACUGAUUGGCUUGGCUCUUAAAAUCGUCGCAACAGUAUGCAGUAUGCGGAUGGAUAAAGCGGCAAUGUGGUGCUGAGUGGGUACUUUCAGGUUCGUGGCAAGAUGGCGCUGACUGCAGAAGGCACCGAGUGAAGACACCGCUGAAUAAUUCAAGAGAGCUGACUACUCUGUCAAUGAGACAUAAAGAUGCAGUGAGCAGCAACAAGAGGCACAGCAAGAAAGAAUUAUACUCAUCUUUGACAUUUAAAAUGUUGUUAUAUUUUAAGAGAUGUUAAACUUUAAUAAAUCAUUUUUCCACUUUUCAUGCCUGCGUGUUCUUCAUCACAAUGGGAACCUAAUGGGCAGGAAUGGAUACUCUGUGGGAGUAUCUUGCUUCUGCCCAAAGAUAGGAUCUUCCCUUCGGCCUCUGCACAGAUCCUAUAGUGGAGCAAACAAACAUAGAAAAUAGAUGCAGGAGGAGUCAAUUUGGCCCUUCAAGCUAGCACCGCCAUUCAUUGUGAUCGUGGGUGAUCGUCCCCUAUCAAUAACCCGUGCCUGCCUUCUCCCCAUAUUCCUUGACUUCACUAGCCGCUAGAGCUCUAUCUAACUCUCUCUUAAAUCCAUCCAGUGACUAGGCUUCCACUGCCCUCUGUGGCAGGGAAUUCCAUAAAUUCACACAUUUCUCUGGGUGAAAAAGUUUCUUCUCACCUUAGUCUUAAAUUACCUGCCCUUUAUUCUAAGACUGGCCCCUGGUUCUGGACUCACCCAACAUUGGGAACAUUUCUCCUGCAUCUAGCUUGCCCAGUCCUUUAAUAAUUUAAUAUGUUUCUAUAAGAUUCCCCCUCAUCCUUCUAAACUCCAGUGAAUACAAGCCUAGUCUUUUCAAUCUUUACUCAUAUACAGUCCCACCAACCCAGGGAUCAAUCUCGUAAACCUACGCUGCAGAAGAACCUCUUCACUCUAUACUGAAAUCCUCUUGUUAUGAAGGCCAACAUUCCAUAGCUUUCUUUACUGCCUGCUGUACCUCUAAGCCAACUUUCAGUGGCCGGUGUACAAGGACGCCCAGGUCUCGCUGCACAUCCCCCUUACCUAACCUAAAUCUAUUGAGAUAAUAAUCAGCCCCCUUGUUUUUGCCUUCAAAGUGGAUAACCUCACAUUUAUCUAUAGUAUACUGCACAUGCCAUGCAUCUUCCCACUCACUCAACCUGUCCAGGUCACCCUGCAACCUCCUAACAUCCUCUUCACAGUUCACACUGCCACCCAGCUUUGUGUCAUUUGCAAACUUGCGAGUGUUGCUCCUAAUUCACUCUUCCAAAUCAUUAAUAUAUAUGGUAAACAGUUGCGGCCCCAAUAACAAACCUUACGGCACUCCACUCGACACUGCCUGCCAUUCUGAAAAGGACCCGUUCACUCCUACUCUUUGCUUCCUGUCUACCAAUCAAUUUUCUAUCCAUGUGAUCACCCUACCACCAAUACCAUGUGCUCAAGAUGGACCACUCCUGCAAAAAACAAUCGGCAAUCGGCAAUGUGGGCAAUACGACUUGUCUUUCUUCAGGUUCCCCAUUAAGGAGGAAAGGUAAGAAAACAUUUAUUACUUCUGGUUAGUUCAUUGAGCUCAGAUAGUUGAGUCCUCAUGGCAACAUCCUUGUAGAAAUCUUCUCAAGAGCAUUUUCUUUCUACAUCUCUGUUAUUUAAUGCAGAAUAAGAGCAUAUUGACUGCAGAUAUUUUCUGUAAUUUCAGAUGUCGACAUUGGACAUGAUCUACACCGAACUGCGGAGUAUUUGUGAAAUAACUGCCCUCUUAUGUACAUUGUGUGAAAUUGUGAUUUGCUAACUGCACAAAUAUAAUGCGAAUGGCGAUUUAUUUAUUAUUGUAUCUAUGUUGGACAUUUUGCUGUUUGGUGAAGCAGGGGUGGGGCUAUCAUUGUGUUACAUACGUUAAAUUGUACAUCACUUUCACUGGUUAGCUGAUAUGCUGAACUGCAACCCUGUAUAACUCGCGCACAGAAUAAUGUGAAUUGUGUAAAUCUUAUCCCAACGGGUCCCACUUAGUCUAUUGAUUGUGUAUAAGCUGCAAAUUUUGUCCUUUGUUUGAAAUGUGUAGAAUGUGACAUCACUUUUAUUGAUUAUCUGAUAUUCUAAAUUCUGCAAAUUCUGCAAGCCUGUAUAUGUCGUGCACAAAAUGAUGUAAAUAAAAAUUGUUUUCCUGUUUAAGAA